GAUGAACGCUAGCGGCAGGCCUAAUACAUGCAAGUCAAGGGGCCAGCAAUGGCACCGGCGGACGGGUGCGUAACGCGUACACAACGUGCCUCUGACAGGGGGAUAGCAUUGGGAAACUGGUGGUAAUACCCCAUAGUAUUGCUGGGAGGCAUUUCUUGGCAAUUAAAGUUACGGCGGUCAGAGAUCGGUGUGCGUCCGAUUAGCUAGUUGGCGGGGUAACGGCCCACCAAGGCGACGAUCGGUAGGGGGUGUGAGAGCAUGACCCCCCCACAUGGGUACUGAGACACGGACCCAACUCCUACGGGAGGCAGCAGUAAGGAAUAUUGGACAAUGGUCGGAAGACUGAUCCAGCCAUGCCGCGUGAAGGACGAAGGCGCUCAGCGUUGUAAACUUCUUUUGGAUGGGGAUAAUAACCUCGAUUUAUCGGGGCUUGAAGGUACCAUCAGAAUAAGCACCGGCUAACUCCGUG
rnacentral:rRNA from 1 species